UGUUUCUGAUAACAUGGUUUAGUACAAUGCACAUCUUUUAGCCAGAUCAAUUAUUAAUGUAUAAAAUGGUCUCGGCUUGCUGUUGGUGGCAUGAACCGGCAUAUUGAAAGGGAAUGACACCUGAGAUCUGGCAAACAUAACCACAAACUGCCCUGAGAAGUGGAACUAAGGACAGGUAUAACAACAACAAGAACAAAAACAACCACCAUAAUGGAAACCUUCAUCAUCAUCAACAGUACACUUGUUAAUUAUAUAGUACACUAUAAAAAGUCCAAGCAAAGACAUGCAUCGUAAGAGCGUGGGACACGAGUCGCCCUCUACUCUUUUGUCCUGCCAUGAACACGGCUAUGUGGCGGCAUCCGUUCACUGCCCAGCAAGUGGCCACACUUCAGGGCUUUGGCUAUGUGGAGAUCCCCUGCAUUUAUAAGAAACUGGUCUGUGGAGAUGAAGGCAAAUGUGCAAUGGCAGAGGUGUCAACUAUUGUGGAUGCCAUCCGAAAGUAUCUUCCAAGACCAGCUGAGAAAAUCACAGCACAUGUUGAUAAACACUGAAAGUGCAAAAUAUAUCCUACUGUGAAUGUAUAUAGUUUUAUAGAAUAAAUAGUAUAUUUAUAGUAAUAUAUAUAUAUAUAUAUAUAUAUAUAUAUAUAUAUAUAUAUAUAUAUAUAUAUAUAUAUAUAGUAAAUCAAGUUUUCUAUAAUGUGUGAUUUUUAAGUUCUUAUAUUUUGGGUAUAUAAUUGACGAAAACGUGUCCGCAAGGGUUAAAGACGCAAUAAUUUUGUUGGAGUUUAGGGAAUUGCACUUUUCUUGUUCCAAGCUUAUCUGACCGACAGUUUGUAAAUGUUACAGUGACGUUUCUGUGUAUACAUAAGUAAGGUUUGGCACUUUUCUUUGUCUUUUGCAGCAUAUGUAGAUAACAUUGCCAGAGUAGGUUAUUUCUUCUCAGAAACUUUGUUUAGAUCACAAAUAUAAUAAUGUUAUGGAAUGAAACUUGGUUGUCUGGAUGUUCCAGUAGGUGGAAGGUUUCAACAGAUUUCAACAGCCAGAGUAAUCAAUAGAUCAAGAAAUUUUAUGACACAACUCUUUUUUAUUUUUUAUCUACAUUAUACUGGCUCACAGUACCUGAGUGAACAUUUGGUUUAUUAUGAUCUGCCAUGCCUUGAUCAAAUAUUGGUUGUUUUUCACUAAUUAUCAGUUCCAAGCUAGCCUAAUCUGAUCUUGAAAAUACUUCUUCUG